rnacentral:rRNA from 1 species
AUGGCGAAAUGCUGGCUGCUGCUCCACUUCUUGGCGUUCGUCUUGCCGGCGGCGAGCGCUACGACGUGCCACUCCGAUGACCUCCGCGCGUUGCGGGGCUUCGCCGGGAACCUCAGUGGUGGUGGCGUGCUCCUACGCACCACGUGGUCUGGCGCCUUGUGCUGCGGCUGGGAAGGUGUCGGCUGUGACGGCCAAAGUGGACGUGUCACGGCGCUGUUGCUCCCGGGGCGCGGACUUGCGGGGCCCAUCCCAGGAGCAUCAUUGGCGGGCCUUGUGCAGCUGGAGGAGCUCAACCUAUCCAAUAACCAACUGAUUGGCACCAUCCCAUCGUGGAUUGGUGAGCUUGAUCACCUUCGCUAUUUGGAUCUCUCCGGUAAUUCAUUGGUUGGCGAGGUACCCAAGAGUUUGAUAAAUCUCCAGGGCCUCGCCACCAUUGGUCGUUUACUGGGUAUGGCUUUCACUAGCAUGCCGUUGCAUAUGAUGCGUAACAGAAGAACACUCCAACAACAACGACCAAAUAUCAUAUCUGGGACCAACAACAAAGUCCGGUCUGGUAGAACCAACGUUCUAUCCGGGAAUGACAUGCACUGUCAUAUUUGGAAGCAGCAACACUGUGGCUGGGAUCAACAAUACCAUCACAACUGGGAGCGACAAUACCGUAACGGGUAG